rnacentral:rRNA from 1 species
AUACAGAGGGUGCGAGCGUUAAUCGGAAUUACUGGGCGUAAAGCGCGCGUAGGCGGCUUAUUAAGUCAGAUGUGAAAUCCCCGGGCUCAACCUGGGAACUGCAUCUGAUACUGGUAAGCUAGAGUUUUAGAGAGGGAAGUAGAAUUUCAGGUGUAGCGGUGAAAUGCAUAGAGAUCUGAAGGAAUACCAGUGGCGAAGGCGACUUCCUGGCCAAAAACUGACGCUGAGGUGCGAAAGCGUGGGUAGCAAACGGAAUUAGAAACCCCUGUAGUCC